UACGGAGGGUGCGAGCGUUGUUCGGAAUCACUGGGCGUAAAGCGCGUGUAGGCGGCCCACUAAGUCUGAUGUGAAAGCCCGGGGCUCACCCCCGGAAGUGCAUUGGAAACUGGUGGACUCGAGUCCCGGAGAGGAGAGUGGAAUUCCUGGUGUAGCGGUGAAAUGCGCAGAUAUCAGGAGGAACACCAAUUGCGAAGGCAGCUCGCUGGGACGUUACUGACGCUGAGACGCGAAAGCGUGGGGAGCAAACAGG
rnacentral:rRNA from 1 species